UGGAGGCUUGAGAAAGUUCUGCUGUUUGUUUAAUACAGUCAUAACUGGUUAUAUCCUCCAAAAUCAAAUCUCAAUCACUACAUUCAUAUCUGACUUUUUCAUUCAGAUAAUGAGACGUGUUUGAGUACAUUCC